AAAUAUGGCAAGAUUGCAAAGCAACAUAAAACAUAGUCAACUAUAAGAUUAUAAAGAGAUAAUGAACAUAGAUACCACUGAGGAUGAAAGUAUGAGUAGUAAAUGCACUGUAUUCGAUAUAAUAAGUUUGGAAACAUAUAGGUGAAAGGAGAACAUCAUGAAUAAUUUGUGUGUGUGAUUUUAAUGUACUUUUGUCAAGAUUAAAUCUCAUGGAGCAAAAUAAUUACAAAAUAGAUAAUGAGGGGGUCUUCAAUUUGUAAUAAGAUUGUAGAUUAGAUUAUACAAAGUAUUUCCAGUAGAAAGCACCUAGAAUGCUGGAUAAAUUGUAAAACAUUCUGUAAGUGAAUGGCAUCUUAAAAUUGAAAACGAAGUACAUAAAAGUCAUUAACCUAGAGGAAGUUGAGGACUAGAGAGGCAGACAAGGGAUCUUUUUGCUUUUGAUGUCCCUAUAGGGCCAGGAAGCAAAGCACUAGGUUUUUAAGAGAUGGUGCUCAAUUUGAAAAAACCUAGAUCAAAUAGAACCACUAACACACCUAACCAAUGAAAUGAUAUAUUAACAAAAAGUGGCCCUCAGAAAUGGAAGCUUUAAAAAAAACUUAUUUGCCUCAACAUGAACUGUGGGUGGGGAUAAAUAUCUUCUCCAAGAGUUUGUAGCCGCCAUCUUGUCAUUAUAAGGCUUAAAAUGAAAAUUGGAAGUAUUUUUAUGGGCUGAGAUAGUGUAAACUGAGAAAUUAAAUGGUCACAUGUAACACAUUUUUCUUUCACCUGACAGAAAAAUAAGCUAAGAACACAAAACACAUUACAAGAUAUCUGAGGUAAUAAGUCAACAAAAGCAAAUGUUAGCAGAGCCAAUCAAGAGCAGAUGUUCAUCCCUCCUCCCUCAUCCAGGCAGCUCUGUGUAUCUGGUGAAAUUGCCUCUGGACCAUCAGAGUGGGCUUGAUUGGUUUGAAGAGGUAAGUUGAGUGGUUUACUCUACAACACUAUCAGAGGCCUACAAGCAUGGACUUGCCUGAUGGUGAGCAGGAAUCUCUAAAACUAUUGGGAAGAGAUGGACAUAAUCAGCUUUCACAAAUUGGUGCAAGUUAACUCCAUCACACUACUGGUCUGUCAAGAAUUUGUUCAUCUACUACUUUGCUUUAUGCUUCAUCCAGGACCACUUUGGGGGAUUUUUUUAAAUGGAUCCAUGGUGAGAUAGAUAUAGAAAUGAAUGAAUUGUAAGGUGUUCUAUUUUUUAAAAAACCACAAUGUGUUUACAAUUCUAUAAAUUUGUUUCCUGAUUUAAAAACUUCAUUCACACAUUUGAAACUUUUGUUUACAAAUAACAAUUGUUUUAAUAGCAACAGCAGUCAUUCUACAAGGAAGCAUGCUUAAAAAUAGAAAUACCCUCACAUGAACAAGGCCCUGGGUUUGAUCCUCAGCACCACCAAAACAAAACAAACAAAC